rnacentral:tRNA from 2 species
GCCCGGGUGGCGGAAUUGGUAUACGCGCACGACUUAAAAUCGUGUCUCGCAAGAGAUGUGGGUUCGAUGCCCGCCCCGGGCACCA